rnacentral:tRNA from 1 species
CGGGGUGUGGCGCAGUUGGCUAGCGCGCAUGCUUUGGGAGCAUGAGGUCGCCGGUUCGAGUCCGGCCACCCCGACCA